AUGUGUCACGCACGCGCAACAUACUGCAAGGAGUUAAACUCCUUAUCCAAAGCAGGAUUGCCUCCCCCAUUUAAUGUUCUUCUUGUGUGUUAUUCACUUUUCGAACCGAUACAGAAGGAUGAACGUAAAAUCCUGAAGCGUUGGAAGUGGAGAUGUGUACUCAUGGAUGACGCACAUGCUUUAAAGGACUGUAAAAUUUAA